CGAAAUGGGAAAGGAGAAGGAGAGGAAAAAGAGAAAGAAGAAAGGGAAAUGAAGGAGAAAAAAGAAGAAGAAGAGAGGAAGAAGAGGUGCAGCAGCCUUCUUCCUCUCUUCUUCGGCUGCUGCUGUUCAGCCAUGGAUGCUACUGAAUGAGAGUGCAUGCAAGUGUUAUGUACUCUCUUCUUCAAGAAAGUGCUGCCUUAGUCUUGUUCAGCUGAAGAAUUGGAGAUGAUGGCUGAUUUAGCUACAUGCAUGCACCAAGAAGAGAGUACAAAGGAAUCUUAUAACUAUAGUCGUUGAGGAUACGCGAGGCUAGGAAAUUGGUAAAGGAUUUCAGAUAUGAAAUCUCAGGUUUUGAACUUGAAGCAAAGAAGAUCAGGAGAUUGGUUGCAGAUGAAGUCAUGGACAAGGAGUGAUUAUAGACAAGAACUUUGAUACUUGUGUUUUAUAUUGUAAAUUAAAUGUAAGUGGAAUAUGAAUUUUGUACGCCCGAGAACCAUGUUAGAUACAAUCCUUGUAGUGGAGACAGAAGAAAGAAAAUGAAAGAAACCUCAAAGUACAAAAUGGGGGUGGAACCA